rnacentral:rRNA from 1 species
UACGAAGGACCCAAGCGUUAUCCGGAUUUAUUGGGUUUAAAGGGUGCGUAGGCGGGUUAUUAAGUCAGUGGUGAAAGCCUGCAGCUUAACUGCAGAACUGCCAUUGAUACUGAUGAUCUUGAGUAUGAUUGAGGUGGGCGGAAUGUGUCAUGUAGCGGUGAAAUGCUUAGAUAUGACACAGAACACCGAUUGCGAAGGCAGCUCACUAAGCCAUAACUGACGCUCAGGCACGAAAGCGUGGGGAGCAAACAGG